rnacentral:rRNA from 1 species
UACGAAGGGUGCAAGCGUUACUCGGAAUUACUGGGCGUAAAGCGUGCGUAGGUGGUUUGUUAAGUCUGCUGUGAAAGCCCCGGGCUCAACCUGGGAAUGGCAGUGGAUACUGGCAAGCUAGAGUGCGGUAGAGGGUAGUGGAAUUCCCGGUGUAGCGGUGAAAUGCGUAGAGAUCGGGAGGAACACCAGUGGCGAAGGCGGCUCCCUGGUCCAGCACCGACGUUCAGGCACGAAAGCGUGGGGAGCAAACAGG